rnacentral:rRNA from 1 species
UACGGGGGGGGCAAGCGUUGUUCGGAAUUACUGGGCGUAAAGGGCUCGUAGGCGGCUAACUAAGUCGGAUGUGAAAUCCCCAGGCUCAACUUGGGAACUGCAUCCGAUACUGGAUGGCUUGAAGUCGGGAGAGGGAUGCAGAAUUCCAGGUGUAGCGGUGAAAUGCGUAGAUAUCUGGAGGAAUACCGGUGGCGAAGGCGGCAUCCUGGACCGACAUUGACGCUGAGGAGCGAAGGCUAGGGGAGCAAACGGG